UUUCGAUUCGCCUUGCAGGGAGAUGGCGUAGUUACAAAAAUUUAAAAAGGAUAACGAUAGUUUAGGCUGGGAGUUUUACUAAAAAUGCUUUAGGAUAAAGUUUGCCACGCGGCGGGUGGGGGUCGUUCAUCACGAUGUGGUGGCGACAUGGGAUUUAAGAAAUUCAAACGAAUUUAAGAAAUUUAAACAGAUUUAAGAAAUUUCAACAGUUUUCAACAAUUUAAACAGAUUAGAAAAUUUAAACAACUUGAUAAGAAAAUCAUCAUCAUGGUCCCCUAACAACCUAAUAAUUUUAAAAACCAUGAUUGGGUUAUAAAAUAACGCUGAAAUUUGAGAUUUAACACGCGUUUUGCUCGCUUCACGUUUGGAUUGAGGAAGCGUGCAACGCCAGCAAAUCCAUAGGAAUCUCUUGCAUCCUUCACCUUGCUCGUCCGCAUGACACACGGCCACCGUCUGUAUGAGCCGCGCGUCCGGAGCGAAGCUUGAUUUUCGGAACAGGUGUUUUCCUAAAUCUUCAGGAUUUAUAAGGUGGAUUCUCUCCAACAUAUUAACUUUUUUAUUUUAAGCUAAUUCAACUACUUUUGUAUUUUGGUUUACAUUUAUAUUAAUUGAUGGUUUACACUAGAUUGUGACUUAUACGUUCCUAAAAUCGUAACCUAUCAUUAAGACGAGUAACCUAAGAUCAUAGUUGAGGUGCGUUGAAUGCGGACAGCACCUUGAGAUAGUAUAAUGCAUCUCUCAUGUCUCUGUAACUAGUCGAGUUAACUUUAAUUGUAAAUCUAUAACCAACAAAAGAAGAAUUAAAUAACUAUUUCUAAGGUACUCGAGGUUUCAAUUUAAUAAUUAUCUUUUUCCACAUAAAUCCCUGGCUGUACAGAGCUGAUUCUGUUAGCAUGUCUA